rnacentral:rRNA from 1 species
GUAGGUGGCAAGCGUUGUCCGGAAUUAUUGGGCGUAAAGCGCGCGCAGGCGGUUCUUUAAGUCUGAUGUGAAAGCCCACGGCUCAACCGUGGAGGGUCAUUGGAAACUGGAGAACUUGAGUACAGAAGAGGAAAGCGGAAUUCCACGUGUAGCGGUGAAAUGCGUAGAGAUGUGGAGGAACACCAGUGGCGAAGGCGGCUUUUCUGGUCUGUAACUGACGCUGAGGCGCGAAAGCGUGGGGAGCAAACAGGGAUUAGAUACCCUGGUAGUCCACGCCGUAAACGAUGAGUGCUAAGUGUUAGGGGGUUUCCGCCCCCUUAGUGCUGCAGCUAACGCAUUAAGCACUCCGCCCUGGGGAGUACGGCCGCAAGGCUA